UUCCCCAACCAGGUAUCGAACCUGGGCCCCGGCAGUGAAAGUGCCAAGUCCUAACCACUGGACCACCAGGGA
rnacentral:tRNA from 1 species